CCCAGAGGAGGAAGCUGUAAACGAACUUAGUGAGUUUUCAGACAGGCAGAGAAGCAACGUGUCAGCUAUGAAGUCCUCCCCCCCCCCCCCCGCAAAGCUUAAGGAAUCUUGGGGUGCCUGGUCAGGAGGGCACAUGAAAGAGUCACAGCAUGAAAACCAUUAUAAAGACUCACUAGGAGGCUGGAAUGGUGCCCGAAGAUGCUGAGAAACAGCCCAAGGACUUUAAACAGGUCAUGACAUGGCAAGGUUUUAACUGGAUGCAUGGCUACUCAUCUCAGAUGACACGUGGCAGCCUCCCCUGAGCGCAGCAAGACCUGAGCUGACUUUGAGCUCCCAGAGGUGGGUGAAGGUGACCAGGGCAUACAGAUCAUCCCUUACUCUCCUCCUCUUCUCCCUUUUUUCCUGGAAAGAUAUGGUGACCGAGGAUCAUACCCAAACCUCAUGUUUGACAACGGCAACACUGCUCUCCACCUCCAUCCUUUAACUACCACAUACCCCCUAAGCUCACAUGUGGAAUAUACACCUACAUUUGAGCGACCGCAUCUUUGGGUCUCGGUCCCAUGGUGGCUCAGCCUCUAUCCCAGCUCAGCGCUACUCAACAGGGAAAAACAAAACACAAGAACGAAAGGCCACACAUCUCUGUGAGUGUUCUAGUGGGCACUUUGUAAAAGGUCAAAAGAAAUGUAUGAGAUUAUGAAAUUAAAUCACAAGUAGUAUAAUGCCAACAUCCAAUCAAUACAAAAAUCAUUGAGAUGUUU